rnacentral:rRNA from 1 species
GAUGUGAAAUCCCCGAGCUCAACUUGGGAAUUGCAUUGCUAACUGGCGGGCUAGAGUACGGGAGAGGGGGGUGGAAUUCCACGUGUAGCAGUGAAAUGCGUAGAUAUGUGGAGGAACACCGAUGGCGAAGGCAGCCCCCUGGCCUGCUACUGACACUCAUGCACGAAAGCGUGGGGAGCAAACAGGAUUAGAUACCCUGGUAGUCCACGCCCUAAACGAUGUCUACUAGUUGUUGGGGUUUUCGAACCUUAGUAACGCAGCUAACGCGUGAAGUAGACCGCCUGGGGAGUACGGUCGCAA